rfam:Parcubacteria (Giovannonibacteria) bacterium GW2011_GWF2_42_19 TV11_C0024, whole genome shotgun sequence.
UGCCGGGUCGUCUAAUGGUAGGACACAUGCCUCUGAAGCAUGGUAUUGGGGUUCGAGUCCCUGCCCGGCAG